UGUUUGAUGUUCUAACGUGGACCCGUAAUCCGGGUUGCGGACAGUGUCUGGUGGGUAGUUUGACUGGGGCGGUCUCCUCCUAAAGAGUAACGGAGGAGCACGAAGGUUGGCUAAUCCUGGUCGGACAUCAGGAGGUUAGUGCAAUGGCAUAAGCCAGCUUGACUGCGAGCGUGACGGCGCGAGCAGGUGCGAAAGCAGGUCAUAGUGAUCCGGUGGUUCUGAAUGGAAGGGCCAUCGCUCAACGGAUAAAAGGUACUCCGGGGAUAACAGGCUGAUACCGCCCAAGAGUUCAUAUCGACGGCGGUGUUUGGCACCUCGAUGUCGGCUCAUCACAUCCUGGGGCUGAAGUAGGUCCCAAGGGUAUGGCUGUUCGCCAUUUAAAGUGGUACGCGAGCUGGGUUUAGAACGUCGUGAGACAGUUCGGUCCCUAUCUGCCGUGGGCGCUGGAGAACUGAGGGGGGCUGCUCCUAGUACGAGAGGACCGGAGUGGACGCAUCACUGGUGUUCGGGUUGUCAUGCCAAUGGCACUGCCCGGUAGCUAAAUGCGGAAGAGAUAAGUGCUGAAAGCAUCUAAGCACGAAACUUGCCCCGAGAUGAGUUCUCCCUGAGACUUUGAGUCUCCUGAAGGAACGUUGAAGACGACGACGUUGAUAGGCCGGGUGUGUAAGCGCAGCGAUGCGUUGAGCUAACCGGUACUAAUGAACCGUGAGGCUUAACCUUACAACG
rnacentral:rRNA from 1 species